AGGUCCGUUGGGAGGUCGGUUGGAACAGUUUCCAAGCCACAGACUCAGAGGCUACGGAUCAAACAAUAGGAGGUUGUGAUGUCACCUCUCCCGAGCUCAUUCCUCUGCUGAGGCACUGACCGCCCCACGUGACAGCCUUGGAGGGAGGUGUUACUGUCCUCCAUCAGGAAACCGAGGUUUAGAGAGGUCAGGUCACUUUCAAGGUGGCCCGCGUGGAAGGUGACGGAGCCAGGAGUUGACUGAGGCCGUGAGACACCGGAGCCCACGUGCUGACCCGGGCUCUCGUGCUGGGCUCCGGAUUCCGCACACUCAGCCCUCCGGUGGCUAUAUUUGGAGAUCUCUGACGACAGAUGGCACAGUCAUCAGUAGCGUGGUCCGAUGAUUAGUCACUCCACAAUCAAUACGUGAUUUUUAAUUUUAAUUUCCGAAUGACUUUUUCUCCCUGUGCUUUAUUUCUUUGUCCAAGUAGCGAACAUCUGCUCUGGGACUGGCAUUUAUCUAAAUUCAAUCGCUUUCCUUUCCACACAAAACCACUUCCUAUGCACUGACGUCUGAAAGAGAAAACGAUUUCGUUCACGAGGAGCGAUCUCUGCCCUCAGGAAACUUGAAUAUGUUUGAAAAGCAAAAAUUGCCUUAGGAAAUUGCCAUCAAUUUCAGCUCCUUUGUCGUGUCUUCACAGGUUUUGUUUUUAUCAAGAGCUUUUUCUAGUUUCUAGGGUUUUUUUGGCCCGCAUCAAUUGCACGGUGGCUCUGUGAUUUUUUCCUCUGCCGCAUGGUUGUGGUUUGGAAAACGUUGAUGGGUUAUUCGAUUCUUCAAAUUAAGCACGGUCUCAGGCGAUUCCUGGGCCUUCUGGUUUCAAAUCUGGAGAGGUCCCGGGGAAACCAGGGGGAGCUGAUCACCCUACUCACCCUCAAAGAACUUGCAAUCCAGUUGUCGAGAGAAGCGCCCAUAAAAAGAGAGAAAUAAAGGUAAAGUGCUCUCGGGAGGAGGGAGAAGUGAUUUCCAGCCGAAAGGAGUUGGGGCCAGGUGAGUGCAAAUCCCUUGAUGUACCUGGGGCUGGGGGAGAAAAAAAUGAAAUGAAUGGCAUUUUGGUAAAGAUGGCCCAAAUGAUACAAAACAAAGGGAGGCAAUGUGGCUCGUUGUUCCUGAAAACUAGGGAAGACAGCCCAUCACUCGGGAGAACUUGCAAAGCAUCUCUGCUGGAUAGAGAGCAACCGGAGCCAGAUUGAGGGAACACUGAAGGCUGGCUCGGUGUCCCCUUCUGGGAAGAUGGUGCCAACCUGGGAAUUAAGGAGAGCAAAUCCUACAGAACUCGAGGGAUAUUCCUUAAUUUGGAGGCGUGACGGUAGGCUGGGGGCAGACAGAGAACGCACUGCCCUCAGAGUCACUUCUGCUGCUGGGAAUUAAGGAGCCAUCCAAGGCAGUCCCCAUUAGC
rnacentral:lncRNA from 1 species